rnacentral:rRNA from 1 species
GUCACUUUAUAGAAKGAUUCCGUUGMUAGCUGUGUAAGUACGUACAGUCAGAUACAAGCGACUGAGAGGGUAUCGCCACACCUGACUGARACCCGUCAAGUCCUACGGAGGCAGCCGUAGGAUCUUCGCAUGGCGAAGCUGACGGAGCACGCCGCGGGGAGGGAUGAAGGUUUCGGAUCGUAAACUUUGUUAUUAGGAAGAACAAAUGUGUAAGUACUGUGCACAUUUUGACGGUACCUAAUCAGAAAGCACGCUAACUACGUGCCAGCAGCCGCGGUAUACGUAGGUGGCAAGCGUUAUCCGGAAUUAUUGGGCGUAAAGCGCGCGUAGGCGGUUUUUUAAGUCUGAUGUGAAAGCCCACGGCUCAACCGUGGAGGGUCAUUGGAAACUGGAAAACUUGAGUGCAGAAGAGGAAAGUGGAAUUCCAUGUGUAGCGGUGAAAUGCGCAGAGAUAUGGAGGAACACCAGUGGCGAAGGCGACUUUCUGGUCUGUAACUGACGCUGAUGUGCGAAAGCGUGGGGAUCAAACAGGAUUAGAUACCCUGGUAGUCCACGCCGUAAACGAUGAGUGCUAAGUGUUAGGGGGUUUCCGCCCCUUAGUGCUGCAGCUAACGCAUUAAGCACUCCGCCUGGGGAGUACGACCGCAAGGUUGAAACUCAAAGGAAUUGACGGGGACCCGCACAAGCGGUGGAGCAUGUGGUUUAAUUCGAAGCAACGCGAAGAACCUUACCAAAUCUUGACAUCCUUUGACAACUCUAGAGAUAGAGCUUUCCCCUUCGGGGGACAAAGUGACAGGUGGUGCAUGGUUGUCGUCAGCUCGUGUCGUGAGAUGUUGGGUUAAGUCCCGCAACGAGCGCAACCCUUAAGCUUAGUUGCCAUCAUUAAGUUGGGCACUCUAAGUUGACUGCCGGUGACAAACCGGAGGAAGGUGGGGAUGACGUCAAAUCAUCAUGCCCCUUAUGAUUUGGGCUACACACGUGCUACAAUGGACAAUACAAAGGGCAGCGAAACCGCGAGGUCAAGCAAAUCCCAUAAAGUUGUUCUCAGUUCGGAUUGUAGUCUGCAACUCGACUACAUGAAGCUGGAAUCGCUAGUAAUCGUAGAUCAGCAUGCUACGGUGAAUACGUUCCCGGGUCUUGUACACACCGCCCGUCACACCACGAGAGUUUGUAACACCCGAAGCCGGUGGAGUAACCUUUUAGGAGCUAGCCGUCGAAGGGGGGACA